CGUGCAGCCGGGCCGGCAAGUCAGAUGUGAAAUCUGGAGGCUUAACCUCCAAACUGCAUUUGAAACUGUAGGUCUUGAGUACCGGAAAGGUUAUCGGAAUUCCUUGUGUAGCGGUGAAAUGCGUAGAUAUAAGGAAGAACACCAGUGGCGAAGGCGGAUAACUGGACGGCAACUGACGGUGAGGCGCGAAAGCGUGGGGAGCAAACA
rnacentral:rRNA from 1 species